CAGCAGCCGCGGGAAUACGUAGGGUGCGAGCGUUGAUCGGAAUUACUGGGCGUAAAGCGUGCGCAGGCGGUUGUGUAAGACAGGUGUGGAAUCCCCGGGCUUAACCUGGGAACUGCGCUUGUGACUGCACAGCUAGAGUAUGGCAGAGGGGGUGGAAUUCCACGUGUAGCAGUGAAAUGCGUAGAGAUGUGGAGGAACACCGAUGGCGAAGGCAGCCCCCUGGGCCAAUACUGACGCUCAUGCACGAAAGCGUGGGGAGCAAACAGGAUUAGAUACCCCAGUAGUCCCUGUCUCUUAUACA
rnacentral:rRNA from 1 species